rnacentral:misc_RNA from 1 species
GAUGAAGAACGUAGCGAAAUGCGAUACGUAAUGUGAAUUGCAGAAUUCAGUGAAUCAUCGAGUCUUUGAACGCACAUUGCGCCCUCUGGUAUUCCGGAGGGCAUGCCUGUCCGAGCGUCAUUGCUGCCCUCAAGCACGGCUUGUGUGUUGGGCCCCGCCCCCCGAUCCCGGGGGGCGGGCCCGAAAGGCAGCGGCGGCACCGCGUCCGGUCCUCGAGCGUAUGGGGCUUUGUCACCCGCUCUGUAGGCCCGGCCGGCGCUUGCCGAUCAACCAAACUUUUUUCCAGGUUGACCUCGGAUCAGGUAGGGAUACCCGCUGAACUUAAGCAUAUCAUAAGCGGAGGA